GGGAGUGUUUAUAGUGCUGUGAGUUUAACACUUCAUGACUGACAGCAGAACAGAACACAAUCUUCAUCAUCACACAACACAAACAACAACAAUGACCUUCAGCAUCAUCUUCAUCUGGACUUUGUUUAUGUGUCUUCAAGGUUUUAGUGGACAGGUGACUGUGACUCAGACUCCCUCUGUAAAGAUGGUUCAGAUUGGUGAAUCGGUCACUAUAAGUUGCAAAACUAACACAGUAGUGAGCAAUGGCUGUUCUGGUUCAUAUACUUGUAUGGCCUGGUACCAACAGAAAUCUGGAGAAGCUCCUAAACUACUUAUUGAAUCCGCAAGCCGAAGACAGCCAAAUAUCCCAUCUAGAUUCAGUGGCAGCGGAUCAAGAACUGAUUUCACUCUGAGCAUCAGUGGAGUCCAGACUGAAGAUUCAGGAGAUUAUUACUGUCAGAGUUAUCACAAUAGUUAUGUGUUCACACAGUGA